GACUGCGACUUCCGAUGUAAAUGAAGAGAACACGCUAGCAGAUGUAUAAAAGUUUAUGGAGAAAGGAUCUGGUGCAGCUAAAGAAGGUGAUUUUGGUGAAGCAUCUGAAUACUAUAGUCGUGUCCUAGAAAUCAGGAGGUGAAAUGGGGAUUUACAUGUUCUAAUUUUUAUAGAAAAUUUUUUAAAAGAUCUGUUACUAAUCGUGCUGAAAAAUGAGCGUUUCGCUAUUCAUCAAGUGCGUCACUAUUGGUGAUGGAGUCGUUGGAAAAACUAGUAUGCUGAUACACUAGCAAAACAUUCCCAACUGAUUAUGUCCCCACCAUUUUUGAUAAUUUUAGUGCAAACGUUGUUGUGGAUGAGAACACGGUAAAUCUAGGGUUAUGGGAUACUACAGGUAAAAUCUUUCCCAUAUGAUUUCAUUAUCUGUAUAUAUAUAUCCUAGAUAUGAAAUUGGUAACAUUAAUUAUAGAUCAAGAGGAUUACAAUAGACUUAGAUCUUUGAGUUAUCGAGGAGCAGAUAUUUUCAUUCUUGUAUUUUCUCUUAUUAGCAAGGCCAGUUUUGAAAAUGUUGCCAAGAAGGUUUGAAUGUUACUUCAUCUUUUUCUGUUUUUGAGUUAAAGUAACAUUAUUAAACGAUUGGUUUUGGAUUUUA